rnacentral:ncRNA from 2 species
CGCCUCUAAGUCAGAAUCCGGGCUAG